UACGUAGGGUGCGAGCGUUGCCCGGAUUUAUUGGGCGUAAAGGGCGCGUAGGCGGUCACGCACGUCCGUUGUGAAAUCGCUCGGCUCAACUGGGCGGGGUCAGCGGAUACGGCGUGGCUGGAGCAAGCUAGGGGGCAAUGGAAUUCCCGGUGUAGUGGUGGAAUGCGUAGAGUAUCGGGAGGAACACCAGUGGCGAAGGGCGGU
rnacentral:rRNA from 1 species